UACGUAGGUGGCGAGCGUUGUCCGGAAUUACUGGGUGUAAAGGGCGUGUAGGCGGGUUUGCAAGUCGGAUGUGAAAUUCCCAGGCUCAACCUGGGCGCUGCAACCGAAACUGCAGAUCUUGAGUAUCGGAGAGGAAAGUGGAAUUCCCAGUGUAGCGGUAAAAUGCGUAGAGAUUGGGAGGAACACCGGUGGCGAAGGCGACUUUCUGGACGAUAACUGACGCUGAGGCGCGAAAGCGUGGGGAGCAAACAGGAUUAGAUACCCUGGUAGUCCACGCCGUAAACGAUGGAUACUAGGUGUGGGGGGUAUCGACCCCCCCCGUGCCGGAGUUAACGCAAUAAGUAUCCCACCUGGGGAGUACGGCCGCAAGGUUGAA
rnacentral:rRNA from 1 species